rnacentral:rRNA from 1 species
ACACAUGCAAGUCGAGCGGCAGCGGAAGUAGCUUGCUACUUUGCCGGCGAGCGGCGGACGGGUGAGUAAUGUCUGGGAAACUGCCUGAUGGAGGGGGAUAACUACUGGAAACGGUAGCUAAUACCGCAUAACGUCGCAAGACCAAAGAGGGGGACCUUCGGGCCUCUUGCCAUCAGAUGUGCCCAGAUGGGAUUAGCUAGUAGGUGGGGUAACGGCUCACCUAGGCGACGAUCCCUAGCUGGUCUGAGAGGAUGACCAGCCACACUGGAACUGAGACACGGUCCAGACUCCUACGGGAGGCAGCAGUGGGGAAUAUUGCACAAUGGGCGCAAGCCUGAUGCAGCCAUGCCGCGUGUAUGAAGAAGGCCUUCGGGUUGUAAAGUACUUUCAGCGGGGAGGAAGGCGUUGAGGUUAAUAACCUUAUCGAUUGACGUUACCCGCAGAAGAAGCACCGGCUAACUCCGUGCCAGCAGCCGCGGUAAUACGGAGGGUGCAAGCGUUAAUCGGAAUUACUGGGCGUAAAGCGCACGCAGGCGGUCUGUCAAGUCGGAUGUGAAAUCCCCGGGCUCAACCUGGGAACUGCAUUCGAAACUGGCAGGCUAGAGUCUUGUAGAGGGGGGUAGAAUUCCAGGUGUAGCGGUGAAAUGCGUAGAGAUCUGGAGGAAUACCGGUGGCGAAGGCGGCCCCCUGGACAAAGACUGACGCUCAGGUGCGAAAGCGUGGGGGAGCAAACAGGAUUAGAUACCCUUGGUA